rnacentral:lncRNA from 1 species
UGCAUCGGAGCCUGUAGCCUCUGGCCUACACCACAGCCACAGCAAUGCGGGAUCCAAGCUGCAUCUGCGACCUACACCACAGCUUACACCCCGCCAGAUCCUUAACCCACUAAGCUAGGCCAGGGAUUGAACCCUCAACCUUAUGAUUCCUAGUUGGAUUCAUUAAUCACUGAGCCAUGAUGGGAACUCCUACUUUUAGUUUUCCUUGACAAUCGGGUAAGGAGCACAUUAAAUUGUUUCUCAUGCUUUUACUCAAAAACUAUCAUUAGCUAAAAUUCCUAUAUGUAGAAUCUGUGAAUUAGCACCAAAUAUAUUUAUCAUCUAGUUAACAAAUACUGUAAUUGUAUUGCCAAAUACAGCCAUUAAGUAAUUUCCCUUAAGGUAUUAAAAAUCCCGUGUUAUCACUGAAGAAAAUAUACUUUAGAAAUGUGGUAUAACACUGAGAGAUCCAAUUUCACUUGCAUAUUAUUCUGUUUAAUUGACAUGCAACUAAGUAUGUAUCAACAAUAUUAAUGCUCUAUAUCAGAGAUUGGCUUUCUCGUUAAAAAAAAAAAAACAAAAAAAAAUAAAAAACAGUAAAUAUUUUGUGCAUUGCAUGUCCUAAGAUGUUUGUCUCCACUGCUCAGCAGUGUUCUUGCAUCAGGAAAGCAUGUACAGAAAAUACAUAACAAAUGGAUGUGGCUAUGUUCCGUUUUGUUUAAAAAUCAAAACAGGGAUUUGCUGUAUUUGCGUAUGGUCUGGUCUCUGUGCGCCUCUCUCCCUCUCUCGCAUCACCGCCUCUCACUCACAUGCUCCUUUGGUUCUCUGCCUCCCAUCGACUUUCUGUUGCUUGGACAUACUUAUUUCAUUCCUGGAUUAGAUCUAUGGUACUUUUUUUGCUCUCAGAUUGUAAAUAUCUGUCCAUGCCUUCCACAGCUUGCUUCUUAUCAAAUGUAACCUGCUCAGAGAUGUCUUGUCUAAGUCGCUUUCUCUUCUAGCCACACACACACACACACACACACACACCCCACUGUCUAUGAGUUAAUUAGAGGAUCAAAUAAAGAUAAAAAGGCCAUGCAUACAAAAAAAUAGAGGAUCAAAUGUCAGUCUUUGUUGUAUUAAGGCUUUCAACUGAUUGGGUGAGGCCCACCCAUUUAUGGGGCAUAAUCUGCUUUGUCAAAGUCCUCCAAUUUAAAUGCUAAUCUGUCAAAGUCUUCCAAUUUAAAUGCUAAUCUCAUCCAAUAACAGUCCCAAGAAUAUCUAGGGUGAGGCCUGACCAAAUAUCUGACCCUCGUGGCCCAGUAAGAUUGACAUAAAGCUUGUGAAACUUUCAUCCUAUGUAGCUAAGAAGGAAAUAAAAUACCAUGCUUUGUGUAAGCUAUUUUGCACUUUGUGGCAAAAUAAAAGAUGUUUUUCUUCAGCAUUUUGGUUUUUCAAGAAUGUAAAUUAUAUUUCUCUGCUCUUAUGUAAACAUUUUAUGUAAUUAUUUCAUCAAAUUUCCUUAUCUGGUGUGGUUAUCGGUCUAGCUUUUUUCAGUAUUUAUUGUACUGGAGACAUUUAACAGGGUCCAAUGUGAAAAUAAGUUCAUAAAAGAAAUAGGUUACUUGCAUCAGAUUAUAAAUUCUUUCUUACUUUCUCUUUUCCAACUGAGCAUGCAUAGAUACACUACUAAUUUGAUUUUUGAAACAUGACUCUGCUAAAUCUAUUUUAAGCUAUUAUAAUCUCUCAUUAUAUGUGCAUUACUAUACUGCUUUAUUUUUAAGUAGCUCUGGGUCAUUACACACCUCAAAUUGUGAUGUAUCUGAUUAAAAUACAGAAAGGUAUUAUAAGAAAUAAAAAAUUCAAAUUCCACUCAUAAUUAAAGAUGCAACAUAGGAAAACUUAAUUUAGAAAUAGAUGAGCAUACUACCUUAGGGAAAUUUGAAAAAGGUCAUACAAAGACUGAUUAUUAAAAAACACUCUUCUACAAUUUCUGUGUUCUUUGACUAUGAUACUUUAAUGGUCAAAGAUUUAGGAAGAACUAAGAGAAAAUAGUAUACAGAGGUUUUUUCUCAUAAUAAUUUCAGCUCCACAUGUAUAAUUUGUACAAAUAUUGUUUUUAAUGUUUGUUUGAAACGAUAUAUUGAAAACAGGGUUCAUAAAUUGACGUGGCAGAGUUCCCAUUAUGACUCAGCAGGUUAAGAACUCGACACUGUCUCCGAAAGGAUGCGGCUUUGAUCCCUGUCCUUGCUCAAUGAGCCGAGGAUCUGGCGUUGCCACAAGCUGUGGUGUAGGUUACAGAUGUGAUUAGUUUCUGUAUUGCCGUGACUAUGGCAUAGGCCUCAGCUGCAGCUGCGAUUUUGACCCCUAGCAGUGAACUUCCAUGUGCUGCAGAUGUGACCAUAAAAAGAAAAAUAACUAAAUAAGUAAAACUGACGGGACAUAUGACGACGUAAUUAUUUUACUUUGGUAAACCUGAGAAACGCGAGAGUCACAACUGCUCCGUCAAGGAAUGAUGGUCCCAUCCCGGAAGUACAGCGAAAUGGAACAUGAUUUCCAUAGUAGGCAGGUGGAUGGAAUGUGUUUGUGAAUGUUCAUUAAAUUUUAUUUCAGAGUGAUUUGCUAUUAAACUCAUUCUUUCGGGAGCUCAGUUAAUGUAUGGAGCUAGGAAGCCAAAGCCAGGUGACGUGUUUUGCGUCCCCACAGGACUGUUUAAGAACCAAUCCAUCUUAUCCACCAGACGCUAAGUGUUCUUGGUUGUGCAAAGAGGUGAGGGAUCUGCUCAAAAUCCUUAUUUUGAAUACGUAGCAUGCAUUUUAGACCUCUAGCUCGAAUCCACAUCCUAAUUCAAUCUCUUGUAUCCAGUUUCAUAACUUAUUUCCUGGCUUGAAGUAUAAUCCCAUCAAAUUCAUUCCCACCGUCUCCAUCUCAUUAAGAGCCAACGUGUAUCUGAUGCUCAUGAUGUUCCAGAUGCUUUACAAAUAACGUCCAUGCAUCAUUCCACCACAUCACUGAAGUCUCAGCGUAUGCCCACAAAGCAUCCACUACCUGGUGAUGAACAUGUGUAAGGUAGAUCACACAAGGGUUUGUAUCCAAGAAAUGAUGGAGUGAGAAUUUGUUCUCUGAUCCCGAGAGUCUGCGCUAUUGAUGACUAACCCCACUGGAGGCCUUACACACAUUCUCAGUGGUGUGAAAACACAACUCCAGGUCUGCUAUACUAAAGUUACUACUCCGCCUAGUUUCUCUGUCUUGUCAAAUAACGAUGCUCUUUUCUUCCUUAGUCUGAGUUCUCAUUUCUCACCUAUGUAAUCUCACGAGAUUAUGAUCAUCACUUUUGAACUGCUGUUACACUCCAGUCUAUCCUUCACUCACUGCUGUGUUUAAUGAUCUAGAAUGCAAAUAUGAUCCUGCUCUGUCGCUGUCUGAAAUCUGUCUAUGCUUUAGUAAUGCAUUUCAAGUCCUUAGAGCAAAAUCCAAAUACAGUUGAGAAUGUGGUCAGUAGUAAACACCCAGUGUCAUCGCUCAUAAUUUGCCAGCGGUCAUUAAUGGUACGUGCACAGCACAUCAAGCCACUUGACUGCUGAACAUGCUGGGGAAAUAAAAUCACACCAAAGAGACAAAAGAUAACAACAACAACAAAUGCCAUCACUGCCAAUCACAAAAAUGUACUGUUAGAUCUCUUGAAAUCCAGGAACACUCAAGCUGCAGAGAAGCCAGUUCCAAUGGUCUUGGCUGCCUGUAGCAUUAAAACCAGAGAUUCCCAAGUUUUCACCCAGGGAAUUUGCAAACCUCCCAUAUAUUUAGUCACAUAUGCACACGCUGGUUUGGGAGAGCCAUAAUGGCUGACAGCUUCUUUUUUUCUCCCUUUCAAAUCUUGCAUGAAUGUAUUGGCAAAAUGUUGUUGAUAGCCACCCGACUGAGCAUGGAGUCCUGCCAGUGCAAUUACGUGGCUCUUAGUGCUGCUCCAGAGCAGGGCACGUAUUAGUCUAUGCAUGCUGUUGAGUAUCAAUAUAUCCUCUCUGCAGAAGUGAUACAGAAUCCACGCUCACCCUUUCCUGAUGCUUGCCUGGUCCUAGCCAGCAUAAUCUUUGACUAUCGUAUAGCAAGUGCCUCUAACGGAGCAUAAUAUGUUUGCUUUUGCCUUUUCCUAAUGCCCACCUUCAAUCCAGCAGCCAGAAUAUUCCUCUAAGGGUCUGCAUCAAGUCACAUCACUCCUCAGAUCAAGACUUUCCAUCAGCUCUUAAUCUUACUCAAAAGUCAUGCAAAGGCCACGAUGGUUUAAGUUUCAGGUAACCUCCUGAUUUUUUUUCUCCUAUUAGUUUUUCUCCCCACUCACUCUGCUCACGUUAUACUGGCCUCCUUGAGGCUUCUUUAGCAGCGCAGGCAUCAUCAAAUACAGGAAUUUUGUCCUCCAUCUUUCCUCAUCAUCAACAGUCUGGCCAGCGUUCCGAGGACUCAGCGCCUCACUCAUUUACAUCUUUGUCUUUCCUCAAGUGCUACUUUCACAGUAGUCUUCACCCACUAUUCCAUAUAUAAUUGUGCCAAGUUCCCCAAACCAGGUGGAACUUCUUACUUCCUUUCCUGACUUGAUUUCUUUCAUAGCACUUAUCACCUUCUAAUAAACUAUAAAACAUCUUAACAUUCUUUCUAUUUAACACUUUUUUUGUCUUUUUAGGGCCACACCUGUGGCACAUGGAGGUUCCCAGGCUAGGGGUCGAAUUGGAGCUGUAGCCGCCAGCCUACACCAGAGCCACCGCAAAGCCAGAUCCCAGCCGUGUCUGUGACUGACACCACAGCGUUGCCGGAUCCUUAACCCACGGAGCGAGGCCAGGGAUCGAACCUGCGACCUCAUGAAUACUAGUCAGAUUCGUUUCCACUGAGUCAUGAUGGCAAGUCCUAUUUAACACUUUUUAUUGUCUUAUUUUGUCUUUUUUGAUUGUGUCUACCCUAUCAACUCAGUUCCUCAAGGACCGAGAUUUUUGGCUGAUCUUUCAUAAUUUCAGUAACAAGAACAGAGCUUCACACAGAGCAGAAGCACAAUAAAUAUAAGUUGACUUAAAAAAAUUGAGGAAGGGGUGACAUAUUCAGAUACCAGGGGCAGUGUGUGGCAAGGAGGAAGAAGAUCACCGUACAUGCUGGAGAAAAUGAAAGAUCAGGCAGGAAUAAACCCACAAAUAAUGAUGGAUUCUGGGAAGGGGGGAGUUAGAAAUAGAGGAAGAAAAAAGUGGCAACAGUUGGCUGCACAGUGAGCAAACCCUAAAAUAAUCAAAAACAUUCUUUAAUCACACGUAGAACCAAAUCCUCCAAAUGAAAAGCCUGAGCAGUGAAGACUGGGGGAUUAAAUCUGGUUAGACGCCAUUGGCAUAUUUGAAAAUAACGUCUUUUUUAUAUUUGUAUUUUUAAGUACUUUAUCUAUAAUAAAAUAAAGAAGAAUAACUAGGGCAUAGGAAAUGUUUACGAUUUUAGCAAUUGCUGGAGAUCCCUGGUGGCCCGGGAACUUCUGCAUGCUAAGGGGCAGCCAAAAAAAAAAAAAAAAAAAAAAAAUCAAAGCACAGUUAUAGCAAUUGGCCAUAGGGAAGGAACAAGCAUUUUAAAUGGAGACAUUCUUCAGCAGCAUGGGCCAUGUGGCUCCCCCUAGAGGUCAUGAACACAGGAUACAGAAGGCUCUGAUGUUUACAUCUUCACCACAAACGCAUCCCCAACAGACUCCAUCAACAACUGGAAUUUAAUCACACAUGACUCAGACGAUCAACUCUCUUGACCUUGACUUAAUAAGAAAAUAAAUCUUGAUAUGGUUUUCCGUGUGUCUGAAACUAGCAAAGCCUAACAAAUGAACUGUACAGAAGAGGGUCAGGGCUUGUGUAGCAUUUUCCGCAACCAGCACCUCAUGGAAUAGCAUAGAUAGUGACAAGAUAUGGGCUUAGCCAUGAAAACUCCUAGAAAGUUUAUUGGAAUCAGCGAUAGGAAUCUUUAGUCUUCUCUCAUUUCAAACUCCGCAUCUGUGAACUUGGAUAAAUCACAUAAGCUCCUGGGUUUCCGUCUUUUUAGCUCUAUGAUUCAAGUGUCUGGUUAUAGUUCUGGCUGAAUGGUGACCAUUUUUCGGAAGCCAUCUGUUAGAGCUGCAUCUGUGUACAUAAACCAGGUUCCACAUGCACAGGACCCGUGUUCCAUAUAUGAAUGCGUCUGUGUUUAUUUCCCAUAGGCAUGUGUUAUGGGUAAUAUUCUGCCCUAUUCUUGUUACCGACUCUGAACUUGUACUGCUCACCACACUUCACGACAGGCCAGAAAAUGUAGGGAGGAGUCGUUGUGGGGAGGAAUAGCAAACAGGGUUGGGGUUAGGGUUACUCAGAAAGCCAGCAGACAGAGAAGAUGGGGUAGUAGUGUCCCCAAAACCAUCUUACCCAAGUUAGGCUUCUUUUACACUAAAAGUGGAGGAGGUUUGGCUUUUUUGCAAACGUCUUGGUGCCAGAAUCCUUUGUUCUUGUCGCUGUCCAUGUGGGUGUGGUCACCGUGUUCCCAGAGACCUCUGACGAGACAAAUGUCAUUCUCUGCCCUGCGAUUUUUCAUCUCUAUACGAAUAGAAAAGUGUUCUACCUUUAAAGGUCAGAGCCUUGAGAACAGGCGAUCCUGUCUAUUUCAGGCUCUAGGCAACAUUCUUUUACCAAUGCGCAGAAUCAGCAUGACUAAGCACAGCCACAGAGCACGAGGGCUAGAGCUAAAGGAAUAGACCCAGUAUGGAGUCAGGUUUGUUCUUCUCUGUUAUGUUAUUAGCUUCUC